UACUACAUGCAAGUCGAACGGCGAGCGCGGACGUUCGGUCGUGGCGGCGGAGUGGCGAACGGGUAGGUAGUAAGUAACAUCGGAACGGUAACCCUCGUUGUUGGGGGAGGUAACUAAGUCGAAAGGAAUUAGUCGUAAUAACCGCCGAUACGAACCGUCGAGGGGUGGAAAGUAGGGGGACCGGGCCAAGGCCGUCCACGCCAGCAGGAGCGGCCGACUGUCUCGAUUAGCUAGUUGGUGGGGUAAAGGCCCACCAAGGCGACGAUCAGUAGCUGGUCUGAGAGGACGAUCAGCCACACUGGGACUGAGACACGGCCCAGACUCCUACGGGAGGCAGCAGUGGGGAAUUUUGGACAAUGGGGGCAACCCUGGUCCAGCAAUGCCGCGUGUGUGAAGAAGGCCUUCGGGUUGUAAAGCACUUUUGUCCGGAAAGAAAUCGCGCUGGUUAAUACCUGGCGUGGAUGACGGUACCGGAAGAAUAAGCACCGGCUAACUACGUG
rnacentral:rRNA from 1 species